UACGAAGGGGGCUAGCGUUGUUCGGAAUCACUGGGCGUAAAGGGCGCGUAGGCGGCUGUACAAGUCAAAGGUGAAAUCCCUCGGCUCAACUGAGGAACUGCCUUUGAAACUGUACGGCUUGAGGCCGGGAGGGGGUAGCGGAAUUCCCAGUGUAGCGGUGAAAUGCGUAGAUACUGGGAGGAACACCAGUGGCGAAGGCGGCUACCUGGACCGGUUCUGACGCUGAGGCGCGAAAGCGUGGGUAGCAAACAGG
rnacentral:rRNA from 1 species